AAGGAAAAAGAUUUUUCGAGUUGUUUUUUUCAUUUCUCUGAUUUUCUCUUUCCUAUUAUUGUUUGGAUGGGUAAGCAUUCACCUGUAGGAACUAUACACAGCAAAUAUCUACCUGUGCAGCAGUGCGUGUUAUCUUUCGCAUUCCAAGGCCGAAUGGAUCCCGUAAAAAUCGUGGCGAAAAACAGCGACAGCUGUUCUCGUCACUAUGGUGAUAACUGUCUAUACUGUGUAUGGUUAGUGAAAGGUUUUCUCUUUUCUCUCUCUCUUUCGGCUGAGAUGCCUAACCUUCAUUUCCUUAGUUAACAACUUUGACUCGUCGGGAAGACCAAAAGAAAGUUUCUCCGUUCAACCUGUAAAGGGGACCUUGGAAUACCAGACAUUUCAAGAAAGUCCCAUAUGAUGCUUUAAGUUGUUGAUUAGUUAUCAAAAGACCCUAUGGGCUCGUUGAUAUCGACUCAUCAAACAGGUAGAUAGAGGCACAUUCACCUGUGAAGUUCACCUUAAACAAAAGUACGAAGCCAUUUCUCAUUGUGACAUUACUGAGUUAAACUUAGGUCCCUUAUUUUUGGGGGGUUUGGCAACCUGACCUCAAUAAAAUGAUGCACUUUAAUUGGUAUAAGACAUCACUAAAGUCGACAUCGUUGCAGGUGAAAGCUAAAUUGGCUCUAUAGAAUUUGUUUCCCGUCUUUAAGUUUAGUAUUACCUGACUAGACUUUAAAACAAUAAGACGAAUCAGAAUGAAAAGAAACGCACGUACGACCUUUUUUUGGCAGUUUGUUGUGACGUUUGGUUCUGCAUUUGUUUCCUCAUGAAACAAACGGAUGGAAAUGACAUUUGACGAUGAUGAGUUAGUACACCAAGUGACUUGCUAACAGGGGAAACAUACACCUAGGUAACAUCUCUGGGAAUUGACCUUCAAAACCAUACAGGAAAGUCGAAUCGUUUUCCGUGACCGAAACAAUGACGUACUCUGACAGUGAGCGAGGAGCGCAUCACACAAGAAGACGUGUUUAACUCCACGUAUGCGUAGAACACAGGGAAACCUGAGAGAGCAUUUGAUAUACUAGAAGAGGGUAGCACGGAAGACAAGCGAUGCAAAAAGAAAAUGCGUAAGUACUUUUAGUUGUUGAAUGAAAGAUGUGUCAAACGAAAUAAUGUCAGUUUAAGACUUCAAACCUUUCAAAGUUAGUUUUUGUUGUUUUUUAGUAUUGAAGGAAAAACAAAUAAAUUUUGUGAGAAAGGCUUUCCGUCACGUUAGCUUCUUUUUUCUUUAGUUAACCUUACAUCCCUUGUCCUAGCCAAAGCGAUGGAUGCAAAACGAAGCACGUAUGCCAUUAAAUUGCACGUAUAUUAUCAGUCAGCGUGGCUUGCAUGGUUAGUAAAAUUUACCGUCGUAAGACUACAACCUCGACUAUAGAGAUGGUGAAUGGUUGGCAAUUUUCCCAUCGACCAACCUAAACGUCAUAUAAAUAGGGAAAGGGAGGAUGGCCUUGCGUGGAGAAGUUGAAAAAACUUUUCUAUUAUUUAAAAAGAAACAAUUUUGCACUUACUAGUUAAAAAAGAACUUUCGCUUUUCGAAUUAGAAAAAUGAUUGAAGGUUCUUUCAAUGGCUAAAUACCUUUAAAGCUAAAAGAGCUUUGGACCUGCAAUUUCAGGAUAUGAAAGAUGUCGCGUUGGUCCUCUCUUCACAGCAUGGAAGCUUCCGGUUCUUUAGCGAAUCUUCAACCAGGAAAUCCUAGACGGCCAAUGGAAGAAAUCACGUGAACGUCCAACAGACCAGCGGAUGUCCCCUGCUGCUUAAUUACCUUUUCUGCCGUGAUGUCCUCGAUGCUAUACGCAUGGUGCUGAAUUUUCAGGCGUUGGCUGACAUUUGGUGACAAGAAUGUGUGAUGCAAUCUCUCCUUGAAUUCCGUUUUUGCGCUCUCACCCAGCAAUCUAGUUUAUCAAAAAUGAAAAGCUGACGUCCACCCUAAAAAGUCCCGUUUAUAACGACUUACUAGGUCAGGUACGUACUCUAGGCAACGGCCAUUAUUGUUUAUUACUAGCAUCCAUUUUUUGCUAUUUACAGCCCGUAAUCGGCGUUCUCUAUAGCAAUUUUUUCCUAGUUCGUAUCGUGUGCCUUUCCCUUUUUUGCAUACAACCUUGGCCGGGUGUGCAAUCAAAUAUUCUUUAUGAAAAACUAUCUAAUAUAGAUAUGAUAUGGAUAAAUCUAAAAAAACAAUUCUGCUACAUCAUAAAUGAGAAACUUUUCAAAGGCCAGCAUACAUUUCUCCUCAACUCUAUUUUUAACAUCUAAUUUGCUUAACGAUUCUUGUUUGGCUUUGAUCUACCUAAUGCGGUUUCCUAUCCCAGCAAUAGAUGUACGGUAAUCCAUAGGCAUAAUACAGCCAGUUAUGUUACUAGGACUA